UCAAAACAGGCAAGGACAAGACAGGAGAUUCUGAGAGUCAGAUCCCAAAUGACGCUCUUCUCUCAAAGCCUGCUGCCCACAUGGAAACCAAUAUUCUCCAAGGUUCUCUUCUUACCAUGGGAACCUAGCUACCACCAAACCGCCUUCUUCUUCCUCUCCCUGAGCAGGACCUGACCAGCUGGCAAUGGCAUGCUGCCUUGUGCCCCAUGUGGCCAUGAGACGAGGCAGGUCCCUUCACAGAGCUCUGCCAAGACUCUCAGUCUCAAAAGCAACAAAUGAUUCCCAAGCCCCAUGGUCAGAGAACUCCACCCUGGCCUUGCUCACCUCUCCAACAAGAAACAGAACCAAGAGAGGACAGAGGAAAGAGCUUACAUACUUCGGCAAUGGGCUUAUUCCUUUCUCUAAGACUCAAAAGUUCGAAACACACCUCCAAUGUCCGCUGACCUUUAAUUCAAAUGGCAAGAGGAAGACCAUUCUUGGGUUCUGGGCUCCAAUUUUUAGAAGGCAUGAAUGAAAACUUAUCAGACUAUCAGGAAUUACUCCCCAGAGCAACUUCCAGGGAGAUUUCAAGGUGUUUCCAUAUUCAGUUCAAUCUCCUGAACUUUCUACACAUGCCUUUCUGUGGGGAAGGGGUACUCUGAAAAGAGCUUGCUCUACUGAAGGCAUCCACCCUAAACCAGGACAACUGGAAUACUCAAGGAAUGUUCCCUACCUUCUAAGGGUGACAUCAUCUUGUCCCAAGGGAAGGUCUCUUACGGCUACCAUCAGUGACACGUUCUAGUCCGAACGGGUCAUUAGUCACAUCCAGUAUCAUUCUCCUUAGGAACAAGCCAUGUACAAGUUCUUCGAAGCUAGAAGCUCUUUGAGGACAAGGAAUAGGUGUCUAUUUCUGCGCCUAAACCCUCAGCACAGGUGCAGACAACUGGAGCUCCUGCUAGGAUGCAGAAGAGAGGUUCCCGAAUCUGACCCCGAUCACACUUGCCGGAUCUUCCAUACUGCCCGCCUGGUGUCCCGGGCUCAGAGGAUGCUACGGCCAGCCCACGGCGUGGGACUGACGCACACUCAUCAUACGGGUGGCAAGCUCCAUGCACAGGGACUCUGGUCUCGCUCUUCUCACACAGAAAAUCCAGCCUGACGUGCUUGUCGGUAAUCACCUGACCACGACACUGUACGUCUUUCUUUAAAGGCUUGUCGCUAGUGCAUUUUUUUUUUUUUUUUGCCUGUAUUUUCCCUGCAGAGCCCUGAUCACCACAAAGAGACAUUUCACCAGGCAGGGGAGCCAGUGUCAUCCUGAGGGAGCCCCCGUGGUCCCUCCGCCCCCAAAGCUGGUCCGCGUUACCCCUAACCUUUGACGCGUGUCUACUGCCACACCAACGGCACUCGGGCUGCACCUGCUUGCGUGUCUGUCUCUUGGACUAGAUGCAAAAGCACCCGAAGGCAGAGCUUUGCCUCAUCCCUCUACA